UUUUUAUUGCAUCUUGUUUAAGAGGAUGCAAACCAACAUAGAACAAUAAAACAGAAGGACAGUCAAAACAGGUUAUGUUUGAUCCUCUCAGCAAGGAAAUGUACACAUUUAGGCUCAAGUUGUGAUUUACAUCAGAAAAAUCAAAUAGUGAUAUUCAAACUACAGAAAAGGGCUAUUCAUUACUAAGAUCUAAAUUCAACAUUUUGAUUGAAUAAUUGGCAAGCCACUAUUUAAUUAGACACUUACAUUUACCAGGUGAAGCUUUAGGUUUGAACAGAUAAUAUCCAUGUGCUUAAUUUAGAGAAGACUGUUUUAUUGUAAGUACACAUGCAUGGUUGAACACUGAACAUCAAUUCCGAUUCUAGUAUAGAUAAAAAAAUCGUAUCACCUGCCAACAAAGCAGAAACACACCAGCACCCUUAUUUGCCAUCACAUUAGUAUAUCCAGGGAGUAUGCUGGAGAAACUUCACUCUGCACUGCAAUAGGACACCGAGUAACUCAAUAUGUUAUCAGGAAGUGCAUUCAGCUAAACAAAGACAUCUAGAAUGAGACGUAUCCAAAAGAAACUGCAUUUUCCGCUUCAAUAGGACAUCAAAGUAACUCAAGGCAAGCAUGUACAAUUAUCUUCAGUCCCGGAGAGAAUUCAAGUAUGUUCAUAAGAGUCACUUCAUAUUUCGUUUCAUUUAUGCAAGUAGAUGAAUAAAAUCAUGCAGUAGGGGAAGAACACAAAUCUCAAUCAAAAUAUUGUAUCACUCGGGUGUUAGAUCCAUCCCAUGCCGUUCAGUGGAAUAGGACUACGUGCCAGGGAACAACAUACCUAAAAAUGAACUUGAAUAUGCUCUAACCAUACAAAACAACCAGAGAAAAGGAUUAAAAUACCAAUAAGAUCUGUACUAAACUAACAUGAGAGAGAGUGAGAGAGAUAUGCAGGAUGGUAGUUGGGCAUAGUUGAUACUUGAUAGUAUGGACCAUGACUGCAGCUAUUCGUACUAAACUAAUUAACAUGAGAGGUAGAGAAGCCUGCCGGACUUGCUGCAAUGGAGGAGACGGCUGGAGACGAACAAACCUUCCUACAACGCAUAAAUUAGAGAUUCCAACCAAGCUAACUCAAAAACUUGUUCAGACCUAAGGAUAUGAAUUAAGGAAGGAGAGCCCCCCAC
rnacentral:lncRNA from 1 species